GGCAGACAUUACUCAGACACCUGUGAACGCUGAGCAGUGGUUGGAGUCCAAGACAGUGAAAUCAUAUUUAUUAUACUUCUGACUGAACUAGCAAGGAGCAUUAGAGACAAUGAGAAAAACUCAAAAGAAGAUACUUUGAAGAAUGCUGGUAAUCAAACCCAACAAGUUUGUCAGGUGCAGAAAUAAAAGCUCCCAAACAAAGAUGUCACCGGAUUAAGAUGUGGAAAGACAUGUUACACCACAACAACCAUAAAUCCUGAGUAAUUUGAAUAUGGUCAACAACCGAGGAAAAGUACCCAUUGUUUUACUCAGAAAUGAUCCAUGGUAAUAGUAAUAGUAAAUGAUUAGAUAAAUAAAUAAAAAGUACA